AUCGAUUGUCUGAGACGUUAAAUAUUCUGGCAGUUAUUUUGGAACACCAGACAAUCGAUUGUUAAAGCCUGACAAUCGAUUGUUCUGGUCCAGUGAGUGAAACGUUUUUUAAUUAUACCAUACAAUCAAUUAUCUAUUGUAGACAAUCGAUUGUGAUGGUCCAGAAACUGAAUUUUUUUUAUCAAAACCAAAAAUCGAUUGUCUGGUUUUGACAAUCGAUUGUCAUGGUCCAGUAACUUAAAAUUUUUUUCAUAAAACCAAACAAUUGAUUGUCUGGCUUUGACAAUCGAUUGUGGAUGGUCCAGUAACUUAAAA
rnacentral:lncRNA from 1 species